CGCCCCUGCAAUAGACAAAGAGACACCUUGUUGCGGAUGGUGUCUUAUAUUUCUCAGGGCCAGAGCAGAGGAUAGUUCUUUGUUCAUCCUAGCUUUGUGCCUGGCUUGGUGGCCAAUGCUGUCUCAUGUCUAGAACUCAUAA